GGGUCAUUAGCUCAGUUGGGAGAGCAGUGGACUUUUAAUCCAUUGGUCGAUGGUUCAAGUCCAUCAUGACCCACCA
rnacentral:tRNA from 1 species